GAUGAACGCUGGCGGCGUGCUUAACACAUGCAAGUCGAACGGUGAAGCAGGAGCUUGCUCCUGUGGAUCAGUGGCGAACGGGUGAGUAACACGUGAGCAAUCUGCCCCGAACUCUGGGAUAAGCACUGGAAACGGUGUCUAAUACCGGAUACGACGCGCGACGGCAUCGUCUGCGCGUGGAAAGAACUUCGGUUCGGGAUGAGCUCGCGGCCUAUCAGCUUGUUGGUGAGGUAAUGGCUCACCAAGGCGACGACGGGUAGCCGGCCUGAGAGGGUGACCGGCCACACUGGGACUGAGACACGGCCCAGACUCCUACGGGAGGCAGCAGUGGGGAAUAUUGCACAAUGGGCGCAAGCCUGAUGCAGCAACGCCGCGUGAGGGACGACGGCCUUCGGGUUGUAAACCUCUUUUAGUAGGGAAGAAGCGAAAGUGACGGUACCUGCAGAAAAAGCACCGGCUAACUACGUGCCAGCAGCCGCCGUAAAAC
rnacentral:rRNA from 1 species